AGAGUUUGAUCAUGGCUCAGAUUGAACGCUGGCGGCAGGCCUAACACAUGCAAGUCGAGCGGAAACGAUGGUAGCUUGCUACCAGGCGUCGAGCGGCGGACGGGUGCGUAACGCGUAGGAAUCUGCCCAGCAGCGGGGGAUAGCCCGGAGAAAUCCGGAUUAAUACCGCAUACACUCUACGGAGGUCGGAGAGGGUAACAAAGUAGGGGAUCUUCGGACCUUUCGCUGUUGGAUGAACCCAAGCGGGAUUAGCUUGUUGGUGGGGUAAUGGCCCACCAAGGCGACGAUCCGUAGCUGGUCUGAGAGGAUGAUCAGCCACACUGGGACUGAGACACGGCCCAGACUCCUACGGGAGGCAGCAGUGGGGAAUAUUGGGCAAUGGGCGCAAGCCUGACCCAGCCAUGCCGCGUGUGUGAAGAAGGCUCUAGGGUUGUAAAGCACUUUAAGUUGGGAGGAAAGGUUAAAGUUUAAUACGCUUUAGCCCUGACGUUAACGUCAAAGGAAGCACCGGCUAACUCCGUGCCAGCAGCCGCGGUAAUACGGAGGGUGCAAGCGUUAAUCGGAAUUACUGGGCGUAAAGCGCGCGUAGGUGGUUUGAUAAGUUGGAUGUGAAAGCCCCGGGCUCAACCUGGGAACUGCAUUCAAAACUGUCUCACUAGAGUACGAUAGAGGGGGGUAGAAUUUCAGGUGUAGCGGUGAAAUGCGUAGAGAUCUGAAGGAAUACCAGUGGCGAAGGCGGCCCCCUGGAUUGAUACUGACACUGAGGUGCGAAAGCGUGGGUAGCAAACAGGAUUAGAUACCCUGGUAGUCCAUGCCGUAAACGAUGUCAACUAGCCGUUGGAAGACUUAUCUUUUAGUGGCGCAGCUAACGCAAUAAGUUGACCGCCUGGGGAGUACGGCCGCAAGGUUAAAACUCAAAUGAAUUGACGGGGGCCCGCACAAGCGGUGGAGCAUGUGGUUUAAUUCGAAGCAACGCGAAGAACCUUACCUACUCUUGACAUCCUCAGAACUUAGCAGAGAUGCUUUGGUGCCUUCGGGAACUGAGUGACAGGUGCUGCAUGGCUGUCGUCAGCUCGUGUUGUGAAAUGUUGGGUUAAGUCCCGUAACGAGCGCAACCCUUGUCCUUAUUUGCCAGCACGUAAUGGUGGGAACUCUAAGGAGACUGCCGGUGAUAAACCGGAGGAAGGUGGGACGACGUCAAGUCAUCAUGGCCCUUACGGGAUGGGCUACACACGUGCUACAAUGGCAGGUACAGAGGGCAGCGAAGCCGCGAGGUUGAGCGAAUCCCACAAAGCUUGUCGUAGUCCGGAUCGGAGUCUGCAACUCGACUCCGUGAAGUCGGAAUCGCUAGUAAUCGUAGAUCAGAAUGCUACGGUGAAUACGUUCCCGGGCCUUGUACACACCGCCCGUCACACCAUGGGAGUGGGAUGCAAAAGAAGUGGCUAGUCUAACCUUCGGGAGGACGGUCACCACUUUGUGUUUCAUGACUGGGGUGAAGUCGUAACAAGGUAACCC
rnacentral:rRNA from 1 species